rnacentral:tRNA from 1 species
GGGGAUUUAGCUCAGUGGUAGAGCGCUUGCCUAGCAAGCACAAGGCCCUGGGUUCAGACCACAGCUCCG